CCUUCGGGUGAGCGGCGGACGGGUUAGUAACGCGUGGGAACGUACCCUUUUCUACGGAAUAGCCUUUGGAAACGAAGAGUAAUACCGUAUACGCCCUUUGGGGGAAAGAUUUAUCGGAGAAGGAUCGGCCCGCGUUAGAUUAGAUAGUUGGUGGGGUAACGGCUUACCAAGUCUACGAUCUAUAGCUGGUUUUAGAGGAUGAUCAGCAACACUGGGACUGAGACACGGCCCAGACUCCUACGGGAGGCAGCAGUGGGGAAUCUUAGACAAUGGGCGCAAGCCUGAUCUAGCCAUGCCGCGUGAGUGAUGAAGGCCUUAGGGUCGUAAAGCUCUUUCGCCUGUGAUGAUAAUGACAGUAGCAGGUAAAGAAACCCCGGCUAACUCCGUGCCAGCAGCCGCGGUAAUACGGAGGGGGUUAGCGUUGUUCGGAAUUACUGGGCGUAAAGCGCACGUAGGCGGAUUGGAAAGUUGGGGGUGAAAUCCCGGGGCUCAACCCCGGAACUGCCUCCAAAACUAUCAGUCUAGAGUUCGAGAGAGGUGAGUGGAAUUCCAAGUGUAGAGGUGAAAUUCGUAGAUAUUUGGAGGAACACCAGUGGCGAAGGCGGCUCACUGGCUCGAUACUGACGCUGAGGUGCGAAAGUGUGGGGAGCAAACAGGAUUAGAUACCCUGGUAGUCCACACCGUAAACGAUGAAUGCCAG
rnacentral:rRNA from 1 species